rnacentral:rRNA from 1 species
GAGUUUGAUCGUGGCUCAGAUUGAACGCUGGCGGCAUGCCUUACACAUGCAAGUCGAACGGCAGCACGGGAGCUUGCUCCUGGUGGCGAGUGGCGAACGGGUGAGUAAUGCAUCGGAACGUAUCCUGGAGUGGGGGAUAACGUAGCGAAAGUUACGCUAAUACCGCAUAUUCUGUGAGCAGGAAAGCGGGGGACCUUCGGGCCUCGCGCUCUUGGAGCGGCCGAUGUCGGAUUAGCUAGUUGGUGAGGUAAAGGCUCACCAAGGCGACGAUCCGUAACUGGUCUGAGAGGAUGAUCAGUCACACUGGAACUGAGACACGGUCCAGACUCCUACGGGAGGCAGCAGUGGGGAAUAUUGGACAAUGGGCGAAAGCCUGAUCCAGCCAUGCCGCGUGUGUGAAGAAGGUCUUCGGAUUGUAAAGCACUUUAAGUUGGAGGAAGGGCAGUAAGUUAAUACCUUGCUGUUUUGACGUUACGACAGAAUAAGCACCGGCUAACUCUGUGCC